AUAAGUGUGAGGGAAAAUUUUACCCAUUGAGCUAACUUUUGGGGUGAAAAUGUCCAAUAGUACCCAACAGUGGUAUUAGAGUCUAGGUUGACAACACCUCCCGGGAUCCGGUCCAAAGGACCGAUGGUGAUCCGAUCAGCCGGUAGAUGGAUAAUGCCUACCAACAGUGGUAUCAGAGCCUAGGUUGACAACACCUCCUGGGAUCCGAUCCAAAAGACCGAUAGUGAUCCGGUCAGAGCCGGUAGAUGGAUAACGCCUACCGAGGAUGUGUGAGGGAGAGGUUGUUGGGUUAUCCCACAACGGAGAGUGGAAGGGGUUGGGUGCUUGUUUAUAAGUGUGAAAGAAACUUUCGAUCAACAGAGAUCGGAGUGACCGAAGAGCUCACCAUGAAACUUUCCCGUGUCCGGAGAUGGUGUUCCGGUCACUGUAGGUCUGGCGAUCAUAAACGACUGACUAUGGUAUAACAAAAGUAUUUAAAAGAACAUGACCAUAUUGCCCCUAACUAAUCUAAACCCUUAGAUUAGAUCAUAUGGAUAAUAACUAGAUCUGUUUAAAGGUUUAUAAUAAGAAUGUACCGGCAAUGAACAAUGCUGCUGCGAGGAAGAGAAGCAGGUUUGUGAGGGACGACAUUGUAAAAGGAUAGGAGGGUAAUUUGGUCAUUUC
rnacentral:lncRNA from 1 species